UACGUAGGGACCAAGCGUUGUUCGGAUUUACUGGGCGUAAAGGGCGCGUAGGCGGCAAUUCAAGUCAGCUGUGAAAUCUCCGGGCUUAACUCGGAACGGUCAGCUGAUACUGCUUGCUAGAGUGCAGAAGGGGCAAUCGGAAUUCUUGGUGUAGCGGUGAAAUUCGGUAGAUAUUCGCGAAGAACACCAGUCGGCGAAGGCGGCUCACUGGCCCGGUAC
rnacentral:rRNA from 1 species